UGACGCCCAUAUCACAUUGAAACACCGGUUCUCGUACGAUUACUGAAGUUAAGUAACGUCGAGUCUGGUCAGUAUCUAGAUGGGUGACCGCUUCCAAAUACCAGGUCCUGUAAG